UACGUAGGUGGCAAGCGUUGUCCGGAAUUAUUGGGCGUAAAGCGCGCGCAGGUGGUUUCUUAAGUCUGAUGUGAAAGCCCACGGCUCAACCGUGGAGGGUCAUUGGAAACUGGGGAACUUGAGUGCAGAAGAGGGAAGUGGAAUUCCGGGUGUAGUGGUGAAAUGCGUAGAUAUCCGGAGGAACACCAGUGGCGAAGGCGACUUUCUGGCCUGUUCUUGACGCUGAGGCGCGAAAGCUAGGGGAGCAAACGGG
rnacentral:rRNA from 1 species